rnacentral:rRNA from 1 species
UACGUAGGUGGCAAGCGUUGUCCGGAUUUACUGGGCGUAAAGGGCGUGCAGGCGGUUUUUUAAGUCUAGGGUGAAAGCUCCCGGCUCAACUGGGAGAGGUCCUUGGAUACUGGAGAACUUGAGGGAUGCAGAGGAAAGUGGAAUUCCCGGUGUAGUGGUGAUAUGCGUAGAUAUCGGGAGGAACACCAGUGGCGAAGGCGGCUUUCUGGGCAUUUCCUGACGCUGAGACGCGAAAGCGUGGGGAGCAAACAGG